rnacentral:rRNA from 1 species
UACAGAGGGUGCAAGCGUUAAUCGGAAUUACUGGGCGUAAAGCGUGCGUAGUCGGUUAUUUAAGUCGGAUGUGAAAUCCCCGGGCUCAACCUGGGAAUUGCAUUCGAUACUGGAUAGCUAGAGUUCGGCAGAGGGAAGCGGAAUUUCCGGUGUAGCGGUGAAAUGCGUAGAUAUCGGAAGGAACAUCAGUGGCGAAAGCGGCUUCCUGGACCAGAACUGACGAUCAGGCUCGAAAGCGUGGGGAGCAAACAGG